rnacentral:snoRNA from 1 species
AACCCAUGGUGAGGGCACCUUCGCAAUAGGUCCUUGUAUCUCUCCCACGCAUCAUAAAGGGUUUCCAAAUCCAUCUGCACAAAGGAAGAGAUAUCAUUAUGUAAUU